rnacentral:rRNA from 1 species
UACGUAGGUGGCAAGCGUUAAUCGGAAUUACUGGGCGUAAAGCGUGCGCAGGCGGUUAUAUAAGACAGAUGUGAAAUCCCCGGGCUCAACCUGGGAUCUGCAUUUGUGACUGUAUAGCUAGAGUACGGCAGAGGGGGAUGGAAUUCCGCGUGUAGCAGUGAAAUGCGUAGAUAUGCAGAGGAACACCGAUGGCGAAGGCAAACCCCUGGGCCUGUACUGACGCUCAUGCACGAAAGCGUGGGGAGCAAACAGG